rnacentral:pre_miRNA from 7 species
CUUUAGAGACGUGAGUUGUCGUGCCAAUCCCGGACAAGAUCCCAAUUAAAGACCCCCAAAGGGAGACCCUCACUCAAGUCUUGGGAUAAUAGUGGACCCCCAAGAACUCACGAGAGACC